rnacentral:lncRNA from 1 species
AUCAAACCAUCCCAAAUUUGCCACCAUCUCGCUCUGUUUUAUUUGUUUAUUUAUUUAUUUAUUUUUUGAGAGAUAGGUAGCACGCUAUCCGCUUUGUUUAUUUUAUUUAAAAAUAAACUUAGCUGGAAAUGUGAAUCAACUAGUAUUCGAAUUUGGGUCUCGGAUACCAACCACCAAGCCCUUUGCCACUUGCUCUAGGGACGGUCGGUCUCGCUCUGUUUUAUUAUGUUCCGUCUCAGCAUCUGUCUCAUUUGCAU